rnacentral:rRNA from 1 species
UUGUAAGCUCUUUUGGGGGGACGAGGAAGGACGGUACCUCAGGAAUAAGUCACGGCUAACUACGGGCCAGCAGCCGCGGUAAUACGUAGGUGGCGAGCGUUAUCCGGAUUUACUGGGCGUAAAGCGCGUGUAGGCGGUUUCGUAAGUCGGAGGUGAAAGCUCCUGGCUCAACUGGGAGAGGCCGUUCGAUACUGCGGGACUUGAGGUCGGGAGAGGGACGUGGAAUUCCCGGUGUAGUGGUGGAAUGCGUAGAUAUCGGGAGGAACACCAGUGGCGAAGGCGACGUCCUGGCCCGCACCUGACGCUAAGACGCGAAAGCGUGGGUAGCGAACGGGAUUAGAUACCCCGGUAGUCCACGCUGUAAACGGUGGAUACUAGGUGUUGGUGGCUAUCGUCAUCAGUGCCGUAGCUAACGCGUUAAGUAUCCCGCCUGGGGACUACGGCCGCAAGGCUAAAACUCAAAUGAAUUGACGGGGG